rnacentral:rRNA from 1 species
AUUGAACGCUGGCGGCAUGCCUUACACAUGCAAGUCGAACGGUAACAGGUCUUCGGAUGCUGACGAGUGGCGAACGGGUGAGUAAUACAUCGGAACGUGCCUAGUAGUGGGGGAUAACUACUCGAAAGAGUGGCUAAUACCGCAUGAGAUCUACGGAUGAAAGCAGGGGAUCGCAAGACCUUGUGCUACUAGAGCGGCCGAUGGCAGAUUAGGUAGUUGGUGGGAUAAAAGCUUACCAAGCCGACGAUCUGUAGCUGGUCUGAGAGGACGAACCGCCACACUGGGACUGAGACACGGCCCAGACUCCUACGGGAGGCAGCAGUGGGGAAUUUUGGACAAUGGGCGCAAGCCUGAUCCAGCAAUGCCGCGUGCAGGAUGAAGGCCUUCGGGUUGUAAACUGCUUUUGUACGGAACGAAAAGCCCUGGGUUAAUACCCUGGGGUCAUGACGGUACCGUAAGAAUAAGCACCGGCUAACUACGUGCCAGCCGCCGCCGUAAUAC